CACGUAGUUAGCCGGUGCUUCUUUACCCAUUACCGUCACUCACGCUUCGUCACAGGCGAAAGCGGUUUACAACCCGAAGGCCGUCAUCCCGCACGCGGCGUUGCUGCAUCAGGCUUCCGCCCAUUGUGCGAUAUUCCCCACUGCUGCCUCCCGUAGGAGUCUGGGCCGUAUCUCAGUCCCAAUGUGGCCGGUCACCCUCUCAGGCCGGCUACCCGUCAAAGCCUUGGUAAGCCACUACCCCACCAACAAGCUGAUAAGCCGCGAGUCCAUCCCCAACCGCCGAAACUUUCCAACCCCCACCAUGCAGCAGGAGCUCCUAUCCGGUAUUAGCCCCAGUUUCCUGAAGUUAUCCCAAAGUCAAGGGCAGGUUACUCACGUGUUACUCACCCGUUCGCCACUCGAGCACCCCACAAAAGCAGGGCCUUUCCGUCGACUUGCAUGUGUUAAGCACGCCGCCAGCCGUUCGUCCUGAGCCAGGAUCAAACUCU
rnacentral:rRNA from 1 species